rnacentral:rRNA from 1 species
GCGGCCUAUCAGCUUGUUGGUGAGGUAAUGGCUCACCAAGGCGACGACGGGUAGCCGGCCUGAGAGGGCGACCGGCCACACUGGGACUGAGACACGGCCCAGACUCCUACGGGAGGCAGCAGUGGGGAAUAUUGGGCAAUGGAGGGAACUCUGACCCAGCGACGCCGCGUGCGGGAUGAAGGCCUUCGGGUUGUAAACCGCUUUCAGCAGGGAAGAAGCGAAAGUGACGGUACCUGCAGAAGAAGCACCGGCUAACUAUGUGCCAGCAGCCGCGGUAAUACAUAGGGUGCAAGCGUUGUCCGGAAUUAUUGGGCGUACAGAGCUCGUAGGUGGUUCGUUACGUCGGAUGUGAAACUCUGGGGCUCAACCCCAGACCUGCAUUCGAUACGGGCGAACUAGAGUGUGGUAGGGGAGACUGGAAUUCCU